rnacentral:ncRNA from 2 species
ACUCGAUAAUAGCAAAAUUAGUGAAAGCUAAUGACGCAAAACUACAGGGACUAACAUGUUUUUAACAUAAUGUCAGCCAGUUGCCGAA